rnacentral:rRNA from 1 species
UCCCACCUGACCCCAUGCCGAACUCAGCAGUGAAACACCGUAGCGCCGAUGGUAGUGUGGGGCCUCCCCAUGUGAGAGUAGGACACUGCCAGAC